CAACGGUGACAGUCAGCUGCCUUCUGGGAUAAUUUAGCAAAGCUCUCCAAAGAUCGUGGAACCCGCUUCCCUUUGCUUUCCCCAAAGCUUGUACUCAAUUCAGUCCUGGAGCAAUGCAGACACAAGUCCUGAUCACUGAGCAAUGGGGUCCGAGCACUUCUCCACACAGCUUCUGCCACAACAAAUUGCUAUGGCUUCCUAUUGGGAAAACAACUGCCUUCAAGGUUGUACUGAGAAAACAAAGCCGGCGGCCCAGUGACGGAUUCGAGAAGUUGGCGAUUUCCCGAAGAUUAAAAGAUAAUAACACUUCUAUUAUGAUCACUCAGCUGUAUUGAUCUCAUCAGGGAAGCCACCGCAGGUCUCAUAUGAGCAGGAUCUGUAGAAGGGGAAGCAACAAGACUGCAGGAGGCAGGCGUAAAUCAACACUUGUUGUAUACAAAGUUGGGCUCGAAUCGUCUCCCAGAAAGAACUGCCACUCUUCUCCUUGGAGAUCCUCCUUGACCAACCUAAGAAGAAUGCCUAAGGGAAAUGGGCUGACUGAAAUCUCAAGCCAAAGAUGGACAAGAGUGGGGCUUAUGACCGGUGAAAGCCUGGGCUCUUUCGCUUCUGCUGGAGUCCCUUGUGCAGCCACUGUUGGACUUCACGGGCUGUACUAGGUUCCUGGCUCCCAUGAAGGUAGAAGUUUUCUAUACCACUUCCCCCUGCUACCUUCUGUGUAGCCUUGCUUCAGGUCGAAAGCAUACAGACAUGGACCCACAGUGCACAGAAACCUGUAGGGUCUUUUUGGUCCAGGCAGAGGAAUAGCAGGACACCUUGGUACAGCAGCCUGGGGCUUCCUUCCUCGUUUCUCCUUUCGUGGUUCUUGCAAAGGUGUGAAGCCCAGACGACCAGUUAGCUCGAAGCUCAGAAGAUGAGCUAGUUCCACCUCUGUCUUUGGAGAGCUCUCCUGAAGACUGGCACAGCUUGAACUAGAGGUUGCAUGAGGGCUCCAUGGUGCAUCCUCGCCAGCAGACCCAAGAGUAGAGUCGUCUUUGCCGUAGCUGUGAGAGCUGGAGCGACUAAAGCCACGGGAGUGCUUCCAGGGAUACACUUGGGCAUUCACAUCCAAGUGGUUUGGGACUUGCUUUCCUGUCAUGAGGACGACUCUUCUUCUAAGAGGCAAGAUGAAUUGCCUAUGAAGAGUGAGACCCUGAUGAAAUCUGAGAGGCCAAACUGUGGAGAUGGCCAAGCCUAGUCCUGAUGGAGCCUGAAUUGAGGUUAUGAUUACACCCUCUAAGCCAGGACCCCUGAAGAGAACACAGUCCUGAUCAUAACUUGGUAUUAUCCCAGUGAAACCUCCACUACACUGGGCAUACAAAGGGGAUUCUCCAGCUGGCCAUGAGCUAUGCAACCCUACCAAAGACACACGGUCCUCUUCUCUGCUCCACUUAAGACAGAUAACAGCAGAAAGCAAGCUAGCACUAAGCAUCAUUUAGAAGACAUAUGGACUGGAUCAAGCAAUGAAAAUGACCCCAGGUUGCAGCAGCCAGCAUCUGGGUUCUUCUCAGCCAUCUUCAGAUAAACAAGCUGCUAUCCCUACUUCACAGACAAGGAACUCAGGGACUCUCAAGAAAGAAGUCAGAGGCUGUGAUUACUGCAGGCCUACUUGUCAUGAUCAGUCUCUAAGGGCUCAUGGAUAAGAAACACUGAUUAAGACCCCAAUAUUCUGCAGAACACCUGAAAGACUUACAUGAGACAUGAAAGGCUAUAAAACUGGAUAUUCUCCAGAUGCCCAGGCAUUUACCAACAUCAGCUCCUGACACGACAGUGGAAGAGGGCAGAGGAGAGGCCGCUCGCAUCAUAGCAUCAUCUCUCAAGCUUGUAUUAACAAAUGUGUCUUGUUACCACCCAAUGGCGUGGCCCUCCCAACUGCUUCCAAUCUGGUAGUCUGGGUGAGCAUGACUCAACAACCUGCAUUUCUCAGAAGAUCUUAAGGAACACUGAUCAUGGAUGGAAUUUGCUGGUCCACAGACUAAGAACCCCUUCUUGAUACACAGAAAGUCCUAUUGGCAAACCCACACUAUUUAUACAAGGCAGUAUGGUCAUAUGAAAUUCAUAGAUAACAAGGACCACAGAGCGCAGCCAAUGAAGAACGUGCACAAUGAAGGGAUGUCAGCUCUAGGACGACUAGAGCUGCUUCUUCUGUCCAGUCAGAAUCAGAAGAAACCUAGGAGCAGACACAAGCAGCAGAGCGGUUUCCUGAAAAUGGAUGCACUUGUCCACGUCCAUUCCCUCCUUAGCACACCCAGUGCAUCCUGAACACAGCACAGAAGCCAAGCAGGAUUGGGUCU
rnacentral:lncRNA from 1 species